rnacentral:ncRNA from 1 species
AAAGACUUAGUCCUAACCUUACCGUUAAUUUUUGCCAAAUAUAUACAUGCAAGUAUCUGCGCCCCAGUGUAAAUGCCCCCAACCCCUUACCAAGGUAAAAGGAGCAGGCAUCAGGCACACAUAUCAACCGUAGCCCAAGACGCCUUGCUUAGCCACACCCCCACGGGUACUCAGCAGUAAUUAACAUUAAGCUAUAAGUGUAAACUUGACUUAGUUAUGGCAACCUAAGGGUUGGUAAAUCUUGUGCCAGCCACCGCGGUCAUACAAGAAACCCAAAUUAACUGUAUACGGCGUAAAGAGUGGUACUAUGUUAUCACAAAGACUAAGAUCAAAAUGUAACUAAGCUGUCAUAAGCAAAAGAUACACUUAAGACCAACCUUAAAACGAUCUUAGAGUAUCGAUUAAUUAAACCCCACGAAAGCUAAGGCCCAAACUGGGAUUAGAUACCCCACUAUGCCUAGCCCUAAAUCUUGAUGCUUACUCCACUCAAGCAUCCGCCCGAGAACUACGAGCACAAACGCUUAAAACUCUAAGGACUUGGCGGUGCCCCAAACCCACCUAGAGGAGCCUGUUCUAUAAUCGAUAACCCACGAUACACCCAACCACUCCUAGCCAAAGCAGCCUACAUACCGCCGUCGCCAGCCCACCUCCAAUGAGAGCACAAUAGUGAGCGUAAUAACCACAUAAUCGUUAACAAGACAGGUCAAGGUAUAGCCCAUGGAGUGGAAGAAAUGGGCUACAUUUUCUAAGAUAGAAAACCACGAAAGAGGGUAUGAAACAACCCCCAGAAGGUGGAUUUAGCAGUAAAGUGGGACAAUAAAGCCCUCUUUAAGUUGGCCCUGAGGCACGUACAUACCGCCCGUCACCCUCCUCACAAGCAAACAAUCUCCAUAACUAAUGCACACCCUAGCUGAAGAUGAGGUAAGUCGUAACAAGGUAAGUGUACCGGAAGGUGUACUUAGCACAC